rnacentral:misc_RNA from 1 species
GAAAUGCGAUAAGUAAUGUGAAUUGCAGAAUUCAGUGAAUCAUCAAAUCUUUGAACGCACAUUGCGCCCGCCAGUAUUCUGGCGGGCAUGCCUGUUCGAGCGUCAUUACAACCCUCAGGCCCCCGGGCCUGGCGUUGGGGAUCGGCGGAAGCCCCCUGCGGGCACAACGCCGUCCCCCAAAUACAGUGGCGGUCCCGCCGCAGCUUCCAUUGCGUAGUAGCUAACACCUCGCAACUGGAGAGCGGCGCGGCCACGCCGUAAAACACCCAACUUCUGAAUGUUGACCUCGAAUCAGGUAGGAAUACCCGCUGAACUUAAGC